rnacentral:rRNA from 1 species
UACGAAGGGGGCUAGCGUUGUUCGGAAUUACUGGGCGUAAAGCGCGCGCAGGCGGUUCUUCAAGUCAGAGGUGAAAGCCCAGAGCUCAACUCUGGAAUGGCCUUUGAGACUAGAGAACUUGGGUACGGGAGAGGUGAGUGGAAUUCCGAGUGUAGAGGUGAAAUUCGUAGAUAUUCGGAAGAACACCAGUGGCGAAGGCGGCUCACUGGCCCGUUACCGACGCUCAGGCGCGACAGCGUGGGGGAGCAAACAGG